UGUGGGAGCGGGCUUGCUCGCGAAAGCGUCCGUACAUUCGACAUUUGUUUUGAAGGUGACGACGCCAUCGCGGGCAAGCCCGCUCCCACA
rnacentral:misc_RNA from 1 species